GGUUAAGUGAAUAAGGGCGCACGGUGGAUGCCUUGGCACUAGGAGCCGAUGAAGGACGGGACUAACACCGAUAUGCUUUGGGGAGCUGUAAGUAAGCUAUGAUCCAGAGAUUUCCGAAUGGGGGAACCCAAUAUCUUUUAUAGGAUAUUACUUUUCAGUGAAUACAUAGCUGAUUAGAGGUAGACGCAGAGAACUGAAACAUCUUAGUAUCUGCAGGAAGAGAAAGAAAAUUCGAUUCCCUGAGUAGCGGCGAGCGAAACGGGAAGAGCCCAAACCAACAAGCUUGCUUGUUGGGGUUGUAGGACUCCAAUAUGGUAGUCUGUUAGUAUAGUUGAAGGAUUUGGAAAAUUCCGCUAAAGAGGGUGAAAGCCCCGUAGACGAAAUGCUAACAACACCUAGGAGGAUCCUGAGUACGGCGGAACACGAGAAAUUCCGUCGGAAUCCGCGGGGACCAUCCCGCAAGGCUAAAUACUCCCUAGUGACCGAUAGUGAACCAGUACCGUGAGGGAAAGGUGAAAAGCACCCCGGAAGGGGAGUGAAAUAGAUCCUGAAACCGUGUGCCUACAACAAGUCAAAGCUCGUUAAUGAGUGAUGGCGUGCCUUUUGUAGAAUGAACCGGCGAGUUACGAUUGCAUGCGAGGUUAAGUCGAAGAGACGGAGCCGCAGCGAAAGCGAGUCUGAAUAGGGCGAAUGAGUAUGUAGUCGUAGACCCGAAACCAUGUGAUCUACCCAUGUCCAGGUUGAAGGUGCGGUAAAACGCACUGGAGGACCGAACCCACGUACGUUGAAAAGUGCGGGGAUGAGGUGUGGGUAGCGGAGAAAUUCCAAACGAACUUGGAGAUAGCUGGUUCUCUCCGAAAUAGCUUUAGGGCUAGCCUCGGAAUUGAGAAUGAUGGAGGUAGAGCACUGUUUGGACUAGGGGCCCAUCUCGGGUUACCGAAUUCAGAUAAACUCCGAAUGCCAUUCAUUUAUAUCCGGGAGUCAGACUGCGAGUGAUAAGAUCCGUAGUCGAAAGGGAAACAGCCCAGACCACCAGCUAAGGUCCCAAAAUAUAUGUUAAGUGGAAAAGGAUGUGGGGUUGCACAGACAACUAGG
rnacentral:rRNA from 1 species